GACCUAAACCGUCAGCCCUCCAAAAGCAGGCGGCAUGGUCGCAAAUCGUUGACUACAGAAAACCCGUCAUUCAGGGCGUAGUCAACGUUGCAGAGGGAAACUUCUGUAGAGCCGCAAGGCUC
rnacentral:sRNA from 12 species